CUUGGUGCGGAGGGUGAGCAGCGCGGAGUUCUUAUGCCGGCGGGGACCGGCGCUGCGAGGCCACGGCGGGAAGCCGCGCUCUGAAGCGGUGGCCGGAGCUGCCCGGCCGUUCCCGCCGGCCGUGCGGGCGGGCGCUGCUGGAGGAGCUCGCUGCCCGGCCAAGGUGUGCGCGGGUCCCAGGAGCUGCCGGGCGGCCACCGGGGCGAGGUGAGCUCCUGGUCUGACGAGAAGUAGUCGUGCUGACGCGGGACGGGCGGCACCGUGCAGUAAUACCCGUCUGCGAGGAUCGCCGGAGUACGAGUGAAGGCGGAAGGGCGGCCGUGCAGGCGCAGCCCGCUCAGUGUGCUUCUUUAAAGGCGGCGUUACUGUGCGGCAGCGACGCGUGUGAGAGGCUGCCGGUACGGACUGCCUGCCGGGAUCUCCAUCAGUUUAUUAUUUCCCAUCUGGUACCAAUACCUCACAGAGUGUCCUGGAAGAAUGAAAUUCUGACAGGGGAAUGGAGCAACAUCACUUGAAUCAUAGAAUGGCUUGGGCUGGGAAGGACCUCAAGGAUCGUGAAGCUCCAACCCCCCUGCCACAGCUGUGCUUUCUUUUUUUUUUUUUAAUUGCUUGUGCAUUCCCACCUGAAAACUUCACAUCAAAGACGGAUGGCGGAAUCAGUUGCUGCCUGCUUAUUCCUUUCACCUGCUUUCCGGUGCAGAAUACGUUGAGAUUUUCAGAAGUCCUCCACCAAAUACUCUUUGAGAAGCUGGUCCACGGGAGAGCUUUGGCCGUGAUGACCUUGCAGUUUGGAGCACCUCCUGACUUUUCACCAGUGUUUGUACGUUCUGCUGGGAGCUAUCUAAUAAAGAGUUCUGAGCAAUGAGAAUGCGCUGGUAGUCAAAGACUGAAGGAGCAACACUGAAGGAAUGCUGUAGCUGUGUUUCACUGAGCUGUUUCCAGCCCUUGGGGGAAAAAAAGUAAACCACAUUCAAAAAAAAAUCCCAAACAGUAAAAUAUACUCUUGAAAAAGUUUGUAUUGGGCUGACACAGCAAGGUUUUGUAAUAGAGGUGCUACAGGCAGGAAUAACUUCUGUCAGCAGAGCCCAGCACUGCCCCAUGUCAGGACAGACCAGGUCCAGCGGCUCCAAAAGGGACCCACCAGCACCAGCACUGAGCUGUGAGUGAUGCUGGGUGCUGGGAGAGCAGAUGGAGGGAAGGGAAAACUGCUGCACAGCAGCAGCUGGGAGAGUGCAGUGAGGAAUGCAAGAGAGAGAAGGCCUGCAGGCAUCGAGGGCAGUGCAGGAAGGCAGGAGGUGCUCCAGGCAAGGAGCAGAACUUCCUUGCAGCCCAUGGACAACACACAGAGCAGUCUCCAUGUGUGGCCAUGGAGGAGCCCACGGUGUAGCAGGGGCAGAGCGCAACCAUGGAGGAGCAGCAGAGAUGAAGAAUUAUGGACUAACUGCAGUAUCCAUUCCCCUGUACUGCUCAAGCAGAGGAGAUAGAAGAUGGUGGAUGGGGGGGGGAAUGAUGUUUUUCUUUUCUUUUUGAUUCUCCUAGCUAUAUUCUGUUAGUAAUAGACAAUGAAUUAUAUUAUUCUCCCUAUGCUGAAUCAGUUCUGCCUAUGGCAUUAAUUGGUGAGCAAUCUCCCUAUACUUAUUUCAACCUCCAAGAUUUCUAUUGCAUUUUUCCCCGUUCUGUUGAGGGAGAAUAAGAGAGUGGCCAUGAGGUGUUUAGAUGCCUUCGAUGUUAAACCAUUGACAAAGAUGUUGUGAUGCUGUGAAGGGAGCCUCAAGAAAAAUGUAAAUUUCAUGGAUGAAGAAAAUGCUAUGUGUCUAUGCUAUAGUAGUCUACCUAUUAUGUUGCUUAACCAAAUUAGAGCUUUGCUUUGGAAAAUCUACAUUGAGAGUCUCAUGAUCGGUAGUGCUGUUAAACAAACAAAACAGCAAAAAGCCAAAGCAUAAUAAAACCUACAUUGACUCCAAAUUGUGCACAGUUCCAGCAGUUGUUUUGCACUGACAACUCUACAAGUUUCACGUCUCUUUGAAACUGCUUUCAUAUGUACUGAGUUUGACCAAUAUUUGUUGAAAAAACAGCAUUCUUAGAGGAAGUCACAAGCAGAGAUGAAAAAAAAAAAGCUUAUUCAUGCAAAAUUAAAAUCUCCUAUUUCUCAAACUUCAGAACACAGCUCAGGCCUCUGUGUUACCUGACACAGAUGUUGUGUCUUUUCUGGGACCUACUCACAUCAUUCGAGUGCCAUUAUUCGUUAUUUUCAAGAUAUCAGAUUUAAAAUGUGUACACUGAACUCCAGUCUGAAGCAAACUGUACCACAGGUAUGAGAUCUUAAUACAGACGUGCUGUUUUUAUGUUGUCAGAUUUUUCCAAAAAAUCUUUUUCAGUCUCAGGUGGAAUAGACAUUGUAUUCUUUGAACUUCAUAGAAUUAUAUACCUGCUGCUUUUAAUAGAUUAUACUUCACUCAUAUGUCAAAAUCAAAAUUUUGUCCUGGUGUUUUAUCAUCAAAACCAAACAUUUUGAAUUGUAUGGUAGCUCUCUUUAUAGUGAUAGCCUUUACCCUUUUUAAAUUACAUUCAUUUUUGCAGCAUUUACCGAAACCAAAUGCUCUUCUGUUUAGAAUACAGGUUUUUUUUGUGUGUUUCCCACAGUAACUCUAUUCUUAAGCCAGGGCAUCUGUGGUGAUUGCAGAUUUGCAGAGAAUGUUCUUUCAUUCUAACAAGUUUCUAGACUAUAUAUUUUUCAUUUUUUUUCCCUCUGAUAAAUGGUGGAUAUAGGAUGCAGUGCAAGUCCAUGGGGCUGGGUGGCAUUCACCAGAGGGUGCUGAAGGAGCUGGCAGAUAUGAUGGUCAAGCUGCUUUCUGUCAUCUGCCACUGUUCCUGGUCAGCCAGAGAGGUGCCAGAGGUAUGGAGGCUUGCCAGCAUGACUCCCAUCUACAGGGAGGGUCAUAAAGAGGAUCUGGGGAACUACAGGCCUGUCAGCCUGAACUUGGUGCCAGGGAAGGGUAUGGAGAAGAUCACCUUGGGAGAGAUCACACACUCUGUGGGGGACAGGUGGAGGAUCAGCCCCAGCCAGCACAGAAUCAUAAAAGGCAGGUCCUGCUUGACCAACCUGAUCUCCUUCUUUGACUGGGUGACCAGCAUGGUGGAUGGGGAAGACUACGUAUUGAUGUAGUCUACCUGUACUUCGAAGCCUUUGACACUGUCUCCCGCAGUGUUCUUCUGGAGAAGCUGGCAGCCUGUGUCUUGAACAGAUACACACUUUGCUGGGUAAAGGACUGCCUGCAUGGCUGGGCCCAGAGAGUGGUGGUGAAUGGACUUAAAGUCAGCUGAUGACUGAUCAUGAGUGGUGUUCCCUAGGAGUUGGUACUAGGGGCCUGUCCAGUUUAGUAUCUUUACUGAUUAUCUGGAUGAGGGCAUUGAGUUCACCCUCAGUAAGUUUGCAGUUGACGCCAAAUUGAGAGGAAGUGUUGAUCUGCCUUAGGGUAAGAAGGCCCUUCAGAGUAAUCUAGACAUCUUAGAUCACUGGCCUGAGAACACUGGGAUGAAAUUCAACGAGACCAGGCUGGAUGUGGCUUUGAGCAACCUGCUCUAGUAGGUGUCCCUACCUCUGAGAGGGGAGUUGGAACUGUUGAUCUUAAAGGUCCUUUUCUACCCAAAGCAUUCAGUGAUUCUAAGACUGGGUGCUGGGUCCUGCACUUUGGUCGUAACAACCCCAUGCAUCACUACAGGCUUGGGGCAGAGUGGCUGAACGGCUGUUUGGAGGAAAUGGACCUAGGGGUGUUGCCUGACACUUGGCUGAAUGUGAGCCAGCAGUGUUCCCAGGUGGCCAAGAAGGCCAAUGACUUCCUAGCUUGUAUAAAGAAUAGUGUUGCCAGCAGGAGCAGGGAAGUGAUCAUCCCUCUGUACUCAGUCCUGGUGAGGCUGCACCUCCAGUACUGUGUUCACUUUUGGCCCCUUCACUACAGGAAUGACACUGAGGCUCUGGAGUGUGUUCAGAGAAGGGCAACAAAGCUGUGAGGGGUCUGGAGCACAAGUCCUGCAAGGAGCAAGUGAAGGAGCUGAGAUUGUUCAGUCUGGAGAAGAGGUAGCUCGGGGGUGAUCUUAUUGCUCUCUACAGCGACCUGAAAGGAGGUUGUAGUGAGGUGGGGGUCAGCCUCUUCUCCCAUGUAACUAGCAAUAGGAUGAGAGAGAGUAUCCUCAAGUUGCAUGGGGGAGGAGGUCCAGGUUGGAUAUUAGGAAAAAUUUAUUCAUUGUAAGAGUGGUCAGACAAGCAUUCAAGAAAUGUGUAGAUGUGGUACCAAGGGACAUGAUUUAGUGGGAAAUAUUGGUGGUAGGUGGACGGUUGAACUAGAUGAUCUCAGGGGGCUUUUCCAGCCUAGUGAUUCUAUGAUUCUAUACCACGAAAGCCCAGUUUUUAAGUACUCAUCUUAAGAGCGGCCCCUGGACAGUCACAGUCAGGACCUUUAAGUGUGACAUAUGCUUACAUUAAUUUUCUAUCCCCUCCCUGAAGUCUCUGUAUUUUUUCAAAAGCUGUGUCUUUUUUUUACCAACUUAUAUUCAGUAAGCAUGUGAGACUGGAAUGGUGUGCACAUUUAUUGCCUCAGAUCACACACGGAUCAAAUUCUUUAAAACUCACAUUUAAGACUGUAGUUGUAUUUUUCCCCUCCUUCUUUGAAU
ensembl:lncRNA